GUCCGGUAUGUGGCGGCAACAGUGGUUCUUCAAGUAUUCUAAUAAAGGAUUCUGCAUCAAUUCCUAACUGCUUCCUACCCAGAUAUAACCGCUAGACAAUUUGUUAUUUUUUUCAAUGUCGUUUUAUACCUAUUUGGUUUUUAUCCCUCCGUCGUCCCUCUGAAUCUUGACUUGUCGACUGAACCCACAAAAAUGGAAUCUGAAUGUAUUCUCACACCGGCCGAGAUAGAUUUCUACGCGGCGAGUAUUCAACCGUCAGAUUUUGAAACUAUUGGAACAUCGAGCUGGUUUGAGGCGCACGAGAGACUCCAAAGGUUAUAUCAACAGGCUACUUUAGAGGCGUCGAAAAACAUUGAAGAACAUGUUAAGGAAGCCAUCAUUUCCAACUUAAAGGUAGGUGAUCAUACUUUACACAUAUUUAUACACAUGCGAUACCAUCCAAGUAUUGUAGAAGAGAAGUAGGUACUUGUAGUUAUACAUAAACGAAUAGAGUUGCUUAGAAGCUCAAGCAAGAUCACUGAUAUUUUAUGAUCGGAAUGAUAAAAAAAUCUUUUUUUACGAUUUUAACAAUGAUGGAACAUCCAUUGACAAGAGUUAUUGGCCUCGUAAGAGGGAGAGUAAGUAGUAGAGGUUACCCCAGCACACAGUGGAUCGAGUCAAUGAGAGAGGUCGGACAAAAUUUGGAAACUUUAAAAGCUUUUAACUCCGUUCAUACAAAACUUUGAGGUCUUUAAAGUGGUUCCAUUGGUUUCCUAGUGAGAUUUUUUUUUUUCAGAGCCACCCCUUGAAAUUUAAAAUUUGACGAAUUAAACAUCAAAAUUUUCAGUUUUAGUUAACAAUCCCAUGUCCGACCUCACUGAUUGAGUCGAUCCAUUGUGUGGCGGCGGUUUCAAAAUUGAAGAGUUUUCUCAAUAAUGGUACCAUUCUCAAAAUAGCAGAUUUUUUGCAAAAGCCCCCAUACUCUUUGAAAUCCACGGAUUCGAUAACUUUAUACGAGGAUGCUAUAGUUGCAGAUACUGGUGUACGAGGCAGUCCUCAUCUCGGUGUGGAAACAACGAAUUCUCCCUCGGAUUUUGAAACGAAACCCGAACACGGAAAAUACAUUCCCCAUUUAUAUCAUAGUAAGUUAAAUUCCAAAAACGCUUAACAUGCUCUCUUAUUUACAGAUGGUUCUUUCUUGCCUUCUCUAAAAUUGUGUAAAACCAUUACAACUCGUUG
rnacentral:lncRNA from 1 species